CUGACAGCACUGCUAUAGAGAUGAGUACUCUCAUCCGCCAUUUUUGCUCCUACAGAGAAGACACCAGUAUGAUUUUGUAUGGUAAACACGUUUGUUGACAUCAAGCGAGAUUGAAUUAUUUAUUGAUAAUUGUAUUAAAUUUCAUUAAAAAAAUUAUUUGAUAGUUGAUGUUAGUACUUAAUCUUUCUAUUUUUAACAUUAAAAGAUAGAUUAAACUACAAAAUACUAUUCAGUGAUUGAUUUAUAAACACGGAUAACCUAUUUGGAACGUUUCAGUAAUAAUUUGAUAAAAAGUAUGCCAGGAAAAAAAGGAAGACAACAACAAAAGAUCAGUCGUUUCUAAAAGCAAAAUGCUAUUAUAUUCUUAUUUUGAAACAUUAAUUAUUUAUGUUUAUGUUAUAUAAAUAUGUAAAUUAAUUGUAAAAUUAAAGAUAAUAAUUGUAUCUUUUUUAGGAGUAUGAAAGUGGAAUAAAAUCUGUUGACGAAGAGACCAUUAUGUCUUUGCUUGCUGAAAAUCGCUCUAUCAGGGCUCAAAUAGAGAGAAUGAAUGCAAUUUUAAGAGAAUAUAAAUCAUAUUCAGCAGCUUCAGAAUAUUUAAGCAAAUACAAUGUUUCAUAAUCAUGAGCUUAAAAUUAAACAUGGUAAAAAUUGUAUAUAUUUAAAAAGAAAAGUAAUGAACUGCACAUAGCAUAAGUGAGUAGUUAAAAUUGUACAUUGGAAAUAAAAUAAAUUUGUAUCAUUUA